UACGUAGGGGGCAAGCGUUGUCCGGAUUUAUUGGGCGUAAAGAGCGUGUAGGCGGCCAUGUAGGUCCGUUGUGAAAACUCGAGGCUCAACCUCGAGACGCCGAUGGAAACCAUGUGGCUAGAGUCCGGAAGAGGAGAGUGGAAUUCCUGGUGUAGCGGUGAAAUGCGCAGAUAUCGAGAGGAACACCUGCGGCGAAGGCGGGUUGCUGGGCUGACACUGACACUGAGAGACGAAAGCUAGGGGAGCGAAUGGG
rnacentral:rRNA from 1 species